GCCUGCUAGCAGGUGGCUCCCUCUCAAAGCAGCCCUCUUUCCAGAGCCUGCCUUCUUAGCAUAGGGAGUGGGUGCUCAACUGGGAGUCUGGAGAGUGGGUUUUGAGCUCUAUUCUGCCACUCCUGAGUUCUGUGUUUGGGGAAUGUGGCCUCAGUUUCUCCAUCUGUGAAGAGGAAAUAAUGACCCCUUGUCCUGCCUCCUUCCAGGUUGUGAGAACCAAAUGAGUUCCCUGCUAGUGAAGCUGAACUGCGUGGUAUGAAGGUUGACAUGGCCCAAAGGGUGGGCAAUAGCCUAUCCCCAGAUGUGGUUCAUCAGUGGUGGCCUCUCAACAGGAAGAAAAGAGCUCCUAGUCAUGGGAAGCCUGGCUGUGCCAGGAACACUUCGUGAAGUCAGGUCCCUGAAGACAGGCAGGAAGUGCUGUUUAACUGACGGCAGGAUGUCAGCGUUGGAGCUCAGCAGGGCGUUUUGCAAUGUGUUUCCCACAGCAUGAAGGAACCAUUGGCACCAGGCUUGCUCUCCAUCUGAUCUCCAGGAGAUGGAUUAGGUCUGAUCCCGACUGGAAGCAGGAAGAGCCUGAUGACCUCCAGGGGCCCUCUGCAUGGGCCUCUGCCCUCUCCCAAAAGGGCACGGGUGUGCUGGGAGCCCCACUUCCUCCUCCCAGGAGCCUUCUGCACUCCUGUGUUUGCUUUGAGUCAGGCCCAGGGCUGGUGCCUGCCUCUGUAGGGCAGGGUGGAGACCCCAGUCUACAGAGGCCCUGGGUUAAUAGACGACUGGCAAACUGAGAUUUGGGUCAGGAACUUGGGGCCAGGCUCCACCAAAGGGCUGGAAGAGGCAAAGCACAGUGACAGGCUUUGGAGUUGGGCCAGCUGGGAGGAGCCCCGAGAGGCAGGGAAGGGUGGGUUUCUGUGGCUGUCCAGGCACGACGCCUCGCCCCAUGCUCCCUCCCACAGACCAGCCUGGUCAGGUUCCCCAGCUGCAUACGUGACUGGGUGUGUCACAUCUGCCUCUGCCCCUCACUGCUCCUAGUAAGGGCCCUGUUCAAAGUGCUGUCUCCCCUCAUGUGCCCCACUCUGCUGGCCCCCACCGCCACAAUCCCGGGAGGGGGCUGGCAGCUCGGCAGGCCCGGGUGCCAGACUGAACCCCAGGGGGUAGCUGGCGCUGCACUUUGCACCAGCCUCUGGCAUUUACGACAGAUACUACACUGGGAUCAGAGGGUAGAGCUGGGCAUCAGCAAGAGUGGGCCAAAGGACAGGGAGGCUGCCACUCAUACAGCUCAGCCUCUCCUGGGACCAGUGCUGGGGCAGUGAAAAAGCCAAAAGGGCCGAGGCCUGGGACCGGCCACCUCCACAGGGCACCAGCCUGAAAGGUCCAGCUCCA
rnacentral:lncRNA from 1 species